AUUGAACGCUGGCGGCAUGCCUUACACAUGCAAGUCGAACGGUAACAGGCCUUCGGAUGCUGACGAGUGGCGAACGGGUGAGUAAUACAUCGGAACGUGCCUAGUAGUGGGGGAUAACUAAUCGAAAGAGUGGCUAAUACCGCAUGAGAUCUACGGAUGAAAGCAGGGGAUCGCAAGCCCUUGUGCUACUAGAGCGGCCGAUGGCCGAUUAGGUAGUUGGUGGGAUAAAAGCUUACCAAGCCGACGAUCUGUAGCUGGUCUGAGAGGACGAUCAGCCACACUGGGACUGAGACACGGCCCAGACUCCUACGGGAGGCAGCAGUGGGGAAUUUUGGACAAUGGGCGCAAGCCUGAUCCAGCAGUGCCGCGUGCAGGAUGAAGGCCUUCGGGUUGUAAACUGCUUUUGUACGGAACGAAAAGCCCUGGGUUAAUACCCUGGGGUCAUGACGGUACCGUAAGAAUAAGCACCGGCUAACUACGUGCCAGCAGCCGCGGUAA
rnacentral:rRNA from 1 species